rnacentral:rRNA from 1 species
UGACCUCAGAUCAGACAAGGAUACCCGCUGAACUUAAGCAAUAUCAAUAAGAAGCGACAAAAGCUCAAAUUUGAAAUCUGGCGNNNNNNACGUCCGAGUUGUAAUUUGAAGAGGAGUCUUCGGCAGCGACCUUGAUCUAUGUUCCUUGGAACAGGACGUCGUAUAGGGUGAGAAUCCCGUACACGGUUGAUGGUCUGCUGUCAUGUGAAGUUCCUUCCAAGAGUCGAGUUGUUUGGGAAUGCAGCUCUAAAUGGGUGGUAAAUUUCAUCUAAAGCUAAAUACCGGCGAGAGACCGAUAGCGCACAAGUAGAGUGAUCGAAAGAUGAAAAGCACUUUGAAAAGAGAGUUAAACAGUACGUGAAAUUGUUGAAAGGGAAGCGCUUGCAACCAGACUUGUCUCGGGUUGAUCAACGUACCUUCUGGUGCGUGCACUCGGCCCUUGACAGGCCAGCAUCGGUUGGGACGGUGGGACAAAGACCUUGGGAAUGUGGCCGCCUUCGGGCGGUGUUAUAGCCCUCGGUGCAAUGCCACCUGCCCCGACCGAGGACCGCGCUUCGUGCUAAGAUGCUGGAGUAAUGGUUGUAAGCGACCCGUCUUGAAACACGGACCAAGGAGUCUAACAUUUAUGCGAGUGUUUGGGUGUCAAAUCCAUACGCGUAAUGAAAGUGAACGGAGGUGGGAGCCCGUGAGGGUGCACCAUCGACCGAUCCUGAUGUCUUCGGAUGGAUUUGAGUAGGAGCAUAGCUGUUGGGACCCGAAAGAUGGUGAACUAUGCCUGAAUAGGGUGAAGCCAGAGGAAACUCUGGUGGAGGCUCGCA